GAUGAACGCUGGCGGCGUGCCUAAUACAUGCAAGUCGAGCGAACGGACGAGAAGCUUGCUUCUCUGAUGUUAGCGGCGGACGGGUGAGUAACACGUGGAUAACCUACCUAUAAGACUGGGAUAACUUCGGGAAACCGGAGCUAAUACCGGAUAAUAUUUUGAACCGCAUGGUUCAAAAGUGAAAGACGGUCUUGCUGUCACUUAUAGAUGGAUCCGCGCUGCAUUAGCUAGUUGGUAAGGUAACGGCUUACCAAGGCAACGAUGCAUAGCCGACCUGAGAGGGUGAUCGGCCACACUGGAACUGAGACACGGUCCAGAGUCCUACGGGAGGCAGCAGUAGGGAAUCUUCCGCAAUGGGCGAAAGCCUGACGGAGCAACGGCGCGUGAGUGAUGAAGGUCUUCGGAUCGUAAAACUCUGUUAUUAGGGAAGAACAUAUGUGUAAGUAACUGUGCACAUCUUGACGGUACCUAAUCAGAAAGCCACGGCUAACUACGUG
rnacentral:rRNA from 1 species